rnacentral:rRNA from 1 species
GAGAGUAUCCUCAGGUGAGCGAGAGAACUCUCGUUAAGGAACUCGGCAAAAUGGCCCCGUAACUUCGGGAGAAGGGGCGCUGGUCGCAAGAUCAGCCGCAGUGAAAAGGCCCAAGCAACUGUUUAUCAAAAACACAGGCAUCUGCAAAAUCGUAAGAUGAAGUAUAGGUGCUGACACCUGCCCGGUGCUGGAAGGUUAAGAGGAGAGCUUAGCGCAAGCGAAGGUUUGAAUUGAAGCCCCAGUAAACGGCGGCCGUAACUAUAACGGUCCUAAGGUAGCGAAAUUCCUUGUCGGGUAAGUUCCGACCUGCACGAAAGGUGUAAUGAUUUGGGCACUGUCUCAACGAGAGACUCGGUGAAAUUAUAAUACCCGUGAAGAUGCGGGUUACCCGCGACAGGACGGAAAGACCCCAUGGAGCUUUACUGCAGUUUAAUAUUGGGUAUCUGUCAAGCAUGUACAGGAUAGGUAGGAGCCGGAGAAGAUAGGACGCCAGUCUUAUCUGAGGCGCUGUUGGGAUACUACCCUUGCUUGACGGAUGCUCUAACU